UGCCUAGUAGCUCAGCGGUAGAGCAGCGGACUGUUAAUCCGUUGGUCACUGGUUCGAUCCCAGUCUGGGCAGCCA
rnacentral:tRNA from 2 species